UGAAUUGUACAUUCCAAGUGCUUAGUACAGUACUUAGCACAUAGUAAGUGCUCAAUAAAUACUACUGAAUAAACAAUUGAUAACUAGGCACAGAAUCCAGGGGCUCGCUGAAUCUCAGAACCUGAGUCAAGUAGGCUCCUCUAGUUUCAACUUUUCCUUUGUAGAGCUGAAACUUGUCUUCUCCUCUGGCAAAAAAAUCUUCUUGCUGAAAGUUGGCUUCUUGGGUAUGACUGAAGAGAAGACUCUGCUCCAGGAACACCCAAAAACCAUUUCUCUGUUGGACUAUGACUGGAAGAGGGACACUGCUUACUGGAUUGAUGACUUUGGUCAUCUCAUGUACUCUACUGGUUCUUCAGGGAAGGAGAUCCUGACUGACCACCCAGUGUGCUCAGCCAGCGUGGACAUAUCCACUGGGGACCUGUACUGGCUCCCAUGUGACAGAAAAGCCAUUCAGGUGACCAGAGCCACAGACCUGCAGACCAGGAUGCUCUAUCAUUCCCGCAGUGGGGUUCUGCGUCUCCUCCUGGACUGGCCCAGGGGGUGGCUCUACUGGGUGGAGAGGGACAAGCCCCUCCAGGGGAUGCAGCUGAAUGGCCAGAAUGUGCAGGAAAUCUGGAAUGGCACCUGGCAAGCAGACACUCCAAUGGCCCUGGACAUGAGGUCAUCCAAUAUUCUCUGGACCACCGAGGACUCUGGUGAGAGGUCAAGGAGGUGGUGACUGCAGGCCAGGCUGAGCUGGAAUUACUUACUUUCUCCCAUUCUAGGGGAACUGAAUCAGUCUUACCCUAGAGCAGCCCUUGGUAUUCAUGGAGAGGCUGGGCAACCCAUCUCCCAGGGAGUUGGGGGCCUCACACACCAUGACCUGUAUACUACAGUCCUGGGCAGGGAUGGAUUUUGGGAGAAGGGUACAGAGAAGGAAUGAGGCCCAAAGGAAGAGAGCAUGUGCCUAGAACUCAAUAGACCUGUGUUCUAAUUGAGUUUCCUCCAGUUACUCGGAGCCUCAGUUUCCUCAUCUGUAAAAUGGGGAUGAGAAAACUAUUCUCCUUCCCUCUUAAACUGAACCCCAUGUGGGAAAGGAAAUUGUACAACAUGAUUUUUGUCUACCCCAGUGUUUAGUAUGGGGCUUGCCACUUAAGUGCUUGACAAGUGUUGUUAUUCUGACACCAAUCAUGUUAGUCUUUUCCCCAGAGGGCCAGUUUCCCAUAUGGGGUCUUCCAGACUCUGUUUUCCCCUUCUCUGCAUCCCUCCCAAUCAGCUGGAGUUAAGCUCUGGUCAAGGAUGGGAAAAUUGACCUCAUCUCCUUCCUUCAAGUCUUCCAGAGAAGCUAGCAGAGCACUGACUAUCCUUAGCUGCCCCAUGCCAAACUCAGUGGGGCCCUAACAGUGACCUGCUAACUUUCUAAUGGAAUAACCUAAUGAUGGUCAUUAUGGAUCAACCAACCACUAGCACUUAUUGGGCACCCCCAGGUCAGAGCCCCAUAAGAAACCCCAAGCAGAGCCCAAUAGUUAAUAGACCCAAUCCUGGUACUCAAAGUGCUUACAAUCUAGCAGGGGAAGCAGUGGUGGC
rnacentral:lncRNA from 1 species